rnacentral:sRNA from 1 species
GUUGUCAUCGACAACUGCCAAUGCCUGAGUGAUUUGAGACAGGCGCCUUCGGGUAAUCACAUGCCAAUGCCACGCAAACCUGAGAGUGGCGCCUUCGGGUGGUUUUGUUAAACCUGUUAACCUCUGAGAACAGGUACU